AUUAGUUUCACCUGUUCCCUAUUACCCUUGCCUCCCUUGUGUAUUUAAGUAACUGUAUUUCCCUUAUUCUUUGUCAGUUUGCCUGUUUUGUUUCCUGUGCGUGUUCCGAGUCUUCCGAGUGUCUUUCUGUGUUCCUGUAUUCCUGAUUCCCUCUUAUUGGAUUAUUUGGUUUUGGCUUCCUGUUUCUGCUUGCCAGUGCAUCUACCCAUCUGCUUUGUGAUGCAGAAUAUAAUAAAGAUGAUUGUUUUGACUAAAGGAACAGAUUGAUUUAAGCCAGUGAGCAGCCAGACACCACCGCACAGAAACUUCAUCCAUCAAUGGCCACAACUGCUUUCUUUGGCGUGUUGCAGUUGGCGCAACUGCAAAAUCAUUCAAGGCUGAAAAUGAUCUGUUUCAUCAGUGUACUGAAGUCCUGUGUAUGAUAUCAGUGAAUGGAUGAUAGAUUUUUUUUUUCUAUCAAAAACUUUUUUCAUAAAGGUCAAAUAGGCAAACUAUCUCAAUGAUAAAAUUGCUUUGUAUUGACAAAAAAUAAAACACAGCUUGUAACUGCCACCUCUGCCAGUGUGUAACUACUAAACUGUAUUUUGAGCAUGUGUUUUAUGUU